UUGAGGCUAAGCUUGUUUCACUUACCAAAUAGAAUAGCAGUAAUAAUCUUUGACUGUUCAAAACUAUUAAUAGCUCAGCAAAGUCUAGGAAUUAGAGAGGUAGAAAGACAUAGGUAAAAGGAAUCUUAUGGCUUUUUAAGGGAGAGGGAUUGAAUGGGAUAGGAUGGGGAAGUGAAAGGAUUUUAAAGAUCUUUAUGUCUUUGGGGUGUGUAGAAUAUCUUGCUUGAGGAAAUAGUUGGAAUCUUGAUACCAUGUUAAUGAACAUAGUAUGCAAUUGAAGUAAGAGUUGAGACAGGGAAGGUAACUAUUGUAUUUGUUACAUUAACCAGAGG
rnacentral:lncRNA from 1 species